UAGGCCGCCGGUAUACUCGAUAAUAUUGACUAUGGCAGGUUCAAAGCCACAAGCUACCUUUCCAAAUGCAAUGUUGUUACUUAAGAGAACUGAGCUAAAUGUCUGCAUACAUUCGCAUACUGAUUUCUCACUCAUGUGGGGGAUUGUUGGAAAUAUGGUUUUAUGCCAUAUCUGAAAAUUAUUAUUUAAUUAAAUAUUUAUUAUUUAAUUAAAAUAAUAAUUGGAUGUUAAUCUACAUCUCGAGUAGAUCAACGUGAUAUACUUGAAGUCUCAAAAUCGAUUUCCGGUGAGUGAGAUAUUAUAUGUCAAAGUUUGGAUGUUGAAAAGGGAAAAUCAGUUUCAACUUCUGCGUUCAACGAUUGCGGCCACCUACCGCAGCCGCCGGAAUUGACUGUUUCAACUUCUGCGUUCAACGAUUGCGGCCACCUACCGCAGCCGCCGGAGUUGACUGCCGAUCCGUUCACACUCGGUUUAACACCUAUAAAUAUGGUUCGCCGGAGCUCGCCGGAUUGUGGUGCUACAUCCGCCGAGACGAAGUCGUUUUACCUUUGGGGAAGAUACGCCAAACCGAAGAGCACUACCGGGGCGAUAAUCUUCUUGCGGGAAGAGAUUCAUCUCGACUCGACUUAGUUUAUACGUAUAAUUUAUUUAUACAGUAUAUUUCAGUUGUAUACAAUUAUUUGAGUUGUAAUUUCUCAAAUUAUUUUCUUUGUAAUAUUUUCAAUUAUUUUGAGUUGUAAUAUCUCAAAAUAUUUAUUUUGUAAUA